UGCAUGGUGGUCGAGCGAUAAGGUUACUUGCCUCUCACUCUGGAAUCCCGGGUUCGAUUCCCGGUCAAGGAG